rnacentral:rRNA from 1 species
UUACCGAGUGCUAUUAUAGAACAGUACAAUUACUUUGAACAAAUUAGAGUGCUUAAAGCAGGCCAAUUGUGCCUAAAUAUUCUGUGCAUGGAAUAAUGGAAUAGGACGUCUGUUCUAUUUUCAAUUGGUUUUUAGAUCAAGACGUAAUGAUUAAUAGAAGCAGUUGGGGGCAUUAGUAUUACGGCGCGAGAGGUGAAAUUCGUGGACCGUCGUAAGACUAACAUAAGCGAAAGCAUUUGCCAAAGAUGUUUUCAUUAAUCAAGAACGAAAGUUAGAGGUUCGAAGGCGAUCAGAUACCGCCCUAGUUCUAACCAUAAACGAUGCCAGCUAGCAAUUGAAUGUAGCUACUCCUAUGGCUCUUUCAGGCGCUUUUCGGGAAACCAAAGCUUUUGGGCUCCGGGG